AGUCCCUUUGCUUGAUAGAAGAAGCAUCUGGUUAGUGGUGCCCAUCUCAUAGCAGCCAGGGACAGAGCAAUUCCUUGUUUAUCCCAGCAUUGCUUUUGGUCUGUGCUCUUGCUUAGUACAUGCCCUGAACACAAUA